rnacentral:sRNA from 1 species
CCCAUGCUGCACUGGCUUUGGAUUUCUAAAUGUUUCCCAGUUAAAAGGAGGAGAGGUGACAUGUCUCACUCUGAGCAGCUUGGGAAUUCAGAUGUGCAGUGAGGAGAAUGGAGGAGCCUGGCGCAUUUUGGACUGUGGCUCUCCUGACAUUGAAGUCCACACCUAUCCCUUCGGAUGGUACCAGAAGCCCAUUGCUCAAAAUAAUGCUCCCAGUUUUUGCCCUUCGGUUGUUCUGCCUUCCCUCACAGAGAAAGUGUGUAAAGUCCAGGAGGUGAGAGGGACCCAGCUGAAGAGGAUGGAGUGAGGGCUUCCGUAUAACUGGAGUACCUGGUGUCAUGGGAAGAUUCACAUAUAUCUGGCCAAACGAACAACUCCAUGUUUUCCAAAAGGCUUGGAGAACAUACCGGGUGCCGCCUCUCCUCUUUCCCUUUGUGUUUGUCAUUUUGGCGAAUUACUGGAAGAUGGUGGUUCCAGUCGAAAGCCUUUUUGGCCAUUUUUAACAGCUGAAAAUAAACCUUGAAAUAAACAUUUUCUCCUUUAACUGAUGUCUGGGAAGGAAGAAAGAAAAAAAGAGAAGAAAGGAAAUAAAGAAGGAAGGAGGGAGGGAGAGAGUGAAGGAGGGA